CUUUUCAUACUUCCUAUUUUUCAAAGAAAAACCUUAAUUUUAUGAAGAGAUUUGACAUUUCGAACUCAAUUUUCCACUUAAUGGUGAAAACUUUUGUUGUUCCUCAAAUGCUUAUGGCAUAAGCUUCUUUUGAGGUGUAUAUUUGCAAAUAUUUUAUAUCUAAAUGUAAGCCUACAGAGAUUAACUUCCUGACGCUAUUGCUGUAUGAACAAUAUAAUGUUUUAUGCCCAAAUAUAGCAAGUUUAUUUGAGGCUUUAACUGGUUACUAAUAAAAGAAGCCCUUUGAGUAUAAAAUAUUGAUAUUAAUUGGAAAAUUAACCAUUAUCUAGCAAUCCUUAAGCAACUCCUUACCAAACUCAGAAAGACAAGAGUCACCUCUCCAAAUAUUGGUACAAAGAAAGGACAAUAACUUUUUAAAUUACUAUUUAAGAUUUUAAAACUCUCUUUAAGAAUUAUGUAAGUUUAAAAAGACUUUUUGAGAGCUUAAAGACCUUUAUAUAGGCAAUAGGAAUGUUUCGAUUCAUUUGAAACAAAAUUUCAACUCCUAUUAAACCCAAAUAGAACUGAAGGGUUCCCGGAAAAUGGACUGCAUAAAAAAAAGUAAUAUUCCAACUUUAAGCAUGUUCUGAGAGUGUCCCAUCACAAAGACAGAAGCAAUUACAACACUGCUGCAUAUGCAUUAGCAGACUGCAUAUUCAUUAGCUGAAGAUACUACCAGUGCAAUUCCAUGAAGGUUUUUAUCCAAUGGAAGGGCAACAGCAGUAGAUAUUUGAAUCUACCCAAAUCUCUGAAAGAGGUGUGCCUUCCUCCUUCAGUGAAAUAAUGGGAGGAGGAAAGUAUAAAUAGACAGGGGGAUGUACACCACAGUUAUUUUUGAUAAAAUAUUUAAAACUAUUAAGUAUGUGAAGCAGCAAACGGCUUCUAACAAUGCUUUGGCCAAGUCCAUUUACAUUUUUCUAUUUGUUUGUCCCAUCUGCUUGUAAUCCAUUUUGUCAGUAUUUCACAUAAAUGUAUGGUGGUUUAAGGGCCCUGGAUUCUAAAGAGUGCCUCAAAACUAUUUUAGGGCAACAUAAAGCUUUAUGUUUAGCUGCUUUCUUAAAAGACUGACAGAUAUAGGUCCUUGAUUUUAACAGCAAUUGGAAAUGCAGGCUCGGUCUAACAAAUAGCUUGAAAAUUUGCAAUCUGGUAAGGUCAAGAAUAACUUUGACAUCAUUCAAGCUGCUCGUUUCCCCAGAGGAAAAAAAAUGAAGGAUGUUGGUUUAGAGACAAGAAAACAGUGACGAUGAUGAUCAGUUGACAGACUUGACACUAUUUGGUGUCAGAACAUUUAAAUACUAUUGAUUAGGAUCAAUAUAAGGGUAGCUAGGUGACAUGUAAAUGGCCUGUAAUAUAUAGGAGGUAAGAUUGGCCUUAAACUCUAUGAAUAAAUCUCUGUGAAUUAAGCAGGCAAGUAGCAGCACUCUCAUCUCAGUUUAUCCUGUUCAUCUCAUCUCUACAUGUAAGCAAAGAACAGCAACAAAGCUGCUAAAAGGAACAAAGAAACCACAGCACAGCAUCUGGAAACAGCAACCUUCUGAUUCAGCACUGUUUCUGUAACAUGAUGACAUCACUAAGACUUCAGCAUCAUUGGAAUACCAGCUGAGCAUAUGGUGCCUGGUAGAUAUUAGGGGAUGGAUGGACCACUCUGAAGGGUGACAUACUCUCACAUAUUUCAUCAUUUUAAAACCCCUGGAGCCAAAUAAGUUUGGAUGAUGAGAAUGAAAACAUCACUCAUUUUGGACGAAUGGACUGGAUUUCCCAGGCAGCCAUUCCAGGCCAAAAGAAAGGCCAAAAGAAAAUAAACGUAUGAUCUCUCUGUCUUUAAAAAUAUUUUAUGUUUUCAGCAUCUACAAUGAAGCUAAAUGGUUGCAAUACUUCCUAACUGUGAUUAGUUUUAUAAACUAUUUCCCCUCCCAUAGGAUUGGUUGUCUGAAACCAGCUACCACAAUAAGUUCUGUGUAAAAUAAACUGUA